GACGAACCGAGCGACCGUUGUUCGGAAUUACUGGGCGUAAAGGGCGCGUAGGCGGCCUUCUAAGUCGGACGUGAAAUCCCUCGGCUCAACCGAGGAACUGCGUCCGAUACUGAAAGGCUUGAAUCCGGGAGAGGGAUGUGGAAUUCCAGGUGUAGCGGUGAAAUGCGUAGAUAUCUGGAGGAACACCGGUGGCGAAGGCGGCAUCCUGGACCGGCAUUGACGCUGAGGCGCGAAAGCUAGGGGAGCAAACGGG
rnacentral:rRNA from 1 species